UACACUCUGUGUAUGAAUCUGGAGAGCUCGGCACGCUUGUCCACUUUAGAGAAAAAAAGAGCUUGGCGGGAGGGGUCCUGAUGCACCGUGAAAUUGCCCCUCCCAAUUAAAGCACAGCGCUUAUGUUAUUGAAGAGCAGCUUAGCCAAUGAGGUGGCGAUACAGGCUGAUACAGCAUUAAAAAAAGCAGCAGAACGAGUGAAGGAAAAAACUGCUUGCCCUGAAGCUGCUAGAGACGUUUGCCCUGAGGAGGAAGAGACCCAGGACACAAGGUAAACUGCUUUUCACAUCUACUGUUGGGCUGGUGGGAUGCUUUUGAAGUUCUUUUUUUCUGAUAUAAUUCUAAUGACAUUGGAGCUAA
rnacentral:lncRNA from 1 species